rnacentral:rRNA from 1 species
GAGACCGGCGCACGGGUGCGUAACGCGUAUGCAAUCUACCUUUUACAGAGGGAUAGCCCAGAGAAAUUUGGAUUAAUACCUCAUAGCAUAGCAGCUUCGCAUGAAGCCACUAUUAAAGUCACAACGGUAAAAGAUGAGCAUGCGUCCCAUUAGCUAGUUGGUAAGGUAACGGCUUACCAAGGCUACGAUGGGUAGGGGUCCUGAGAGGGAGAUCCCCCACACUGGUACUGAGACACGGACCAGACUCCUACGGGAGGCAGCAGUGAGGAAUAUUGGACAAUGGGCGCAAGCCUGAUCCAGCCAUGCCGCGUGCAGGAUGACGGUCCUAUGGAUUGUAAACUGCUUUUAUACGAGAAGAAACACUCCAACGUGUUGGAGCUUGACGGUAUCGUAAGAAUAAGGAUCGGCUAACUCCGUGCCAGCAGCCGCGGUAAUACGGAGGAUCCAAGCGUUAUCCGGAAUCAUUGGGUUUAAAGGGUCCGUAGGCGGUUUGGUAAGUCAGUGGUGAAAGCCCAUCGCUCAACGGUGGAACGGCCAUUGAUACUGCCAGACUUGAAUUAUUAGGAAGUAACUAGAAUAUGUAGUGUAGCGGUGAAAUGCUUAGAGAUUACAUGGAAUACCAAUUGCGAAGGCAGGUUACUACUAAUGGAUUGACGCUGAUGGACGAAAGCGUGGGUAGCGAACAGGAUUAGAUACCCUGGUAGUCCACGCCGUAAACGAUGGAUACUAGCUGUUGGAAGCAAUUUCAGUGGCUAAGCGAAAGUGAUAAGUAUCCCACCUGGGGAGUACGUUCGCAAGAAUGAAACUCAAAGGAAUUGACGGGGGCCCGCACAAGCGGUGGAGCAUGUGGUUUAAUUCGAUGAUACGCGAGGAACCUUACCAAGGCUUAAAUGUAGAUUGACCGGUUUGGAAACAGAUCUUUCGCAAGACAAUUUACAAGGUGCUGCAUGGUUGUCGUCAGCUCGUGCCGUGAGGUGUCAGGUUAAGUCCUAUAA